GAUCUUGUGGUCUAGUGGUAUGAUUCUCGCUUAGGGUGCGAGAGAUCCGGAUUCGAUCUUCGGCAAGGCCC
rfam:Phytophthora infestans T30-4 supercont1.2 genomic scaffold, whole genome shotgun sequence.